rnacentral:rRNA from 1 species
GAUGAACGCUGGCGGCGCGCCUAACACAUGCAAGUCGAACGGCACCCCUCUCCGGAGGGAAGCGAGUGGCGAACGGCUGAGUAACACGUGGAGAACCUGCCCCCUCCCCCGGGAUAGCCGCCCGAAAGGACGGGUAAUACCGGAUACCCCGGGGUGCCGCAUGGCACCCCGGCUAAAGCCCCGACGGGAGGGGAUGGCUCCGCGGCCCAUCAGGUAGACGGCGGGGUGACGGCCCACCGUGCCGACAACGGGUAGCCGGGUUGAGAGACCGACCGGCCAGAUUGGGACUGAGACACGGCCCAGACUCCUACGGGAGGCAGCAGUGGGGAAUCUUGCGCAAUGGGGGGAACCCUGACGCAGCGACGCCGCGUGCGGGACGGAGGCCUUCGGGUCGUAAACCGCUUUCAGCAGGGAAGAGUCAAGACU